GCAAUGGAGGAGCUUCUUCAAGUGAUAAAGACAACAAAACCCGAUAAAUUUACACCGCGGAUUAUAGAAAAGAAGGAAGACUAUUUGCAUGUGGAAUAUCAAAGUCCCAUUUUGGGGUUAGUUGAUGAUGUUGAAUUUUGGUUUCCACCGGGCAACAACUCCAUUGUGGAGUAUCGAUCUGCGUCGAGGUUGGGAAACUUCGAUUUUGAUUACAAUAGAAAGAGAAUCAAGACAUUGCGACUGGAGUUGGAGAAAACAGGAUGGGCUUCUGCUGAAAGCUUCUGACGAGGAACCAAAAAAAGAAAAAGCCUUCUCGAGGGCCACUGCUCGCUAGCUGAUCUGAUACUUGGAACUCUCUGAACUCUCAUCUUUUAAAUUCUUAAUGAUUUACAAG
rnacentral:misc_RNA from 1 species